GCGGCCUAUCAGCUUGUUGGUGAGGUAAUGGCUCACCAAGGCGACGACGGGUAGCCGGCCUGAGAGGGCGACCGGCCACACUGGGACUGAGACAUGGCCCAGACUCCUACGGGAGGCAGCAGUGGGGAAUAUUGGGCAAUGGAGGAAACUCUGACCCAGCGACGCCGCGUGAGGGAUGAAGGCCUUCGGGUUGUAAACCUCUUUCAGUAGGGAAGAAGCGAAAGUGACGGUACCUACAGAAGAAGCACCGGCUAACUAUGUGCCAGCAGCCGCGGUAAUACAUAGGGUGCAAGCGUUGUCCGGAAUUAUUGGGCGUAAAGAGCUCGUAGGUGGUUCGAUACGUCGGAUGUGAAAAUCAGGGGCUCAACCCCUGACCUGCAUCCGAUACGGUCGAGCUAGAGUUUGGUAGGGGAGACUGGAAUUCCU
rnacentral:rRNA from 1 species